UGAAUGCUUGCAUGCCUGCAUAGAUACUACAUACACACAUGGAUAUGAAACAGGAAGUCGGUAUCCAAUUAACUCUUUGAAGUUCACCUGUAAACGUCAUAACCAGCAUAGCUCUAUCCUUGGCGCUUUUCUCUCUGUCUAUGUUUUCAAGAAUUUUCUUGACUCACUUAUUUUUGUGAAAGAAGGCCUCAUGUUUACAUGACAAAAUUAGAAGACCUCCAUUUUUAUUUGUAACCACCUUUUCUAGACUCUCGAACGGAGUUAGCUAGUAAGUCUUGGAAUCAUAAUAGUGUAUUGUUUGUUACAUGGACUGAAACUAUUCUCGUGUCAAUGUAAUGAGAAAUGACUGAGAUAAUAGCCAAAAACUAGUUUUUUUAUAUUAAUUUUGUAACCACCUUUUUGAGACUUCUGCACCAGACUGUUUAUGGUUUCAUUUUUCUAGAUGCUAUGUUUCAAAAUGAGAACUGAGUAGUGAAAGAAUAGCUUAUUUACCAAGAAACACAAGCAGGAUUUCAGUGGCAUUGAUGAGACAUUGUUACAUGAUUGUAAAGCUUUAUAUUUAUGG